rnacentral:rRNA from 1 species
AUGGAGAUGAAAGAGGCCGCCGCGGCGGCGGCGGCGGCCGGACCCGACCCCAAUGCGCGAGAAUCCCAUGGAGCCGCGCGGAGUGGCGACUGCGACGAGGCCGACAGCGAUCUCAUCAGCCGCCUCCCCGACGACGCCCUCGGCACUAUCGUCUCCCUCCUCCCCACCAAGGACGGCGGCCGCACGCAGGCCCUCUCCCGCCGAUGGCGCCACCUCUGGCGCUCCGCGCCUCUCAACAUCGAGGUCCGCUCCCCUGCCAGCCCCCAGCACCCCUCCUCCGUCCCCCCCUCCGCCGUCCCCAACAUAAUCUCCCAACACCCCGGCCCCGCCCGCCGAUUCUCCUUCCGCUGCCGCGGCGCCGGUGAUCUCUACGCCCAGACGGAGCGCUGGUUCGCCUCCCGGGCCCUCGCCAACCUCCAGGAGCUUGAUAUCGGCUACGAGUACCCCUCUGCACGUAUAAGCCACCCGCUGUCGCAAUCCGCGUUCCGCUCCGCAUCCACCCUCCUCGUCGCCAAGAUCAAAGAUUGCAGUUUCCCGGACGCGGUCUCACGGUCAAUGAAUUUCCCCCUCCUCAACCAGCUUACCUUGGAUUGUGUUUCGAUCUCGGGGGACGCGUUCCACGGCUUGCUCUCCGGCUGCCAUGCCUUGGGUUGGAGAGCUUAUCCAUGCUCGAAGUUCAUGCUGCUGGUUGCUUCCAUGGCACCUAAACUGGAGAUAUUUGGGCCUUUCUCGCCGGACUUGUGCCAACUCCCGGUCUUCCAGGGAAUGGGCCCAGUCAGCUCCGCAAACUCGAUAUCUACCGUGAAGGUUUUGGCUCUCGGGUGUCAUAGUUAUCGUCUGAAUGCAGUUCUUGACAUCCUCAGGUGGUUCCCCUGUUUGGGAAAGCUCUAUGUCACCUUUGGCAUGCAAAAGCAAAAUUUGCCUCAUUAUGACCGACCACAUCCCAUGGAAUGCCUUCAGACCCAUCUAAAGGAAGUGGUGUUGAAGUAUUUCAAUGGUUACGAGCAACAUAUUGACUUUGCCAGGUUCUUUGUUUUGAACGCAAAAGUGGUAAACAAAAUUGAAUUCCAUGUACGUGAGGACCACUACAGCAAUGAAUUUGUGGCUCGUCAACACACGCUGUUCGAAGCCGAAAACAGAGCUUCUCCGGAUGCUCAAUUUGAAUUCAGGAAAACUUGUGGUUCUAUUGAUUAUCAUGUCAGCAAGCAUAUCCACGAUCUGUCGGUGGCCGACCCCUUCGCAGACAGGGUUGAUGCCUGA